ACAAGCAGCGGAGCGUGUGGUUUAAUUCGAUGUUACACGAAGAACCUUACCAGGUUUGACAUGCAAGUGGUAGGAAGCCGAAAGGUGACCGACCCUUCGGGGAGCGUUGCACAGGUGCUGCAUGGCUGUCGUCAGCUCGUGUCGUGAGAUGUUCGGUUAAGUCCGCUAACGAGCGCAACCCUCGCUGUGUGUUAUAUGUGUCACACGGGACUGCCGGUCUUAAGCCGGAGGAAGGUGGGGAUGAUGUCAAGUCAGCAUGGCCUUUAUAUCCUGGGCUACACACACGCUACAAUGGCCAACACAAUAGGUUGCCAAGCCGCGAGGUGGCGCCAAUCCAUAAAGUUGGUCUCAGUUCAGAUUGUAGGCUGCAACCCGCCUGCAUGAAGAUGGAGUUGCUAGUAACCGCAGGUCAGCUAUACUGCGGUGAAUACGUUCCCGGGGCUU
rnacentral:rRNA from 1 species